UACGAAGGGGGCUAGCGUUGCUCGGAAUCACUGGGCGUAAAGGGUGCGUAGGCGGAUCUUUAAGUCAGGGGUGAAAUCCUGGAGCUCAACUCCAGAACUGCCUUUGAUACUGAGGAUCUCGAGUUCGGGAGAGGUGAGUGGAACUGCGAGUGUAGAGGUGAAAUUCGUAGAUAUUCGCAAGAACACCAGUGCGAAGGCGGCUCACUGGCCCGAUACUGACGCUGAGGCACGAAAGCGUGG
rnacentral:rRNA from 1 species